AUAAACUGGCAUGUUCUGAAAGAAUCACUCUGGAUGCUGUGUGGAGAAAACACUGAAAAGAAUUCUAGAGUGAAAGUUUCAUGAAUAUAAGAAGCAAGACAAGGAAGUGGCUUAUGCUUAAGGCCUUAAAGGCAACCACUGUGACAAUCCAGCCAUUCUCUGGAGAAUUCAGCAGAAAGCCAGUUGGAAUCUUUAUAGGGGGAGAAUAAUUGACUCCAUUCAAGUGUUCGCUCCUGUUUCAAUCAACUAUGGCUGAAGAGUGAGGAGACAUUUGGAAUAAAUAUGGCUUCUGGGGGCCCAUUCCUAUGGAUCAGCAGCUGGCUUCUGGAGGCCCAUUCCUGUGAAUCGUCGAUCUCAUAGAAGAUAAUAUUGUUAGAAGGCUUACCUCAUUGAUGCUGAACAUCCUAAAAAGCUUCUGCUGCUUUGAGUCACUGAAAAAGACCAAGAAACAUGAAUUUAAAAAAAAAUUUCAAAUGUUAUAAAAUAAAUAAUAUGAACUCAUUAUACCUACAAUGAAUAAUUUAAAUUCUUCUUUGGUAGUCCAGGUUUAGAAACUAUGAAAACCCUAGAAGAAAACCUAGGCAAUGCCAUUCAGGACAUAGGCACGGACAAAGAUUUCAUGACGAAGACGCCAAAAACAACUGCAACAAAAGCAAAAAUUGACAGAUGGGAUCUCAUUAAACUAAAGAGCUUCCAUACAGCAAAAGAAGCUACCAUGAGAGUGAACAGACAACCUAUAGAAAGGGAGAAAAAUUUUGCAAUCUGUUCAUCUGACAAAGGUCUAAUAUCCAGCAUCUACAAGGAACUUAAAUAAAUUUACAAGAAAAAAACAAACCCAUUAGAAAAUGGGCAAAGGACAUGAAAAGAUACUUCUCAAAAGACAUACAUGUGGCCAACAAUCAUACAAAAAAAACCUCAACAUCACUGAUGAUUAGAAAAAUGCUAAUCAAAACCACAACGAGAUACCAUCUCAUACCUGUCAGAAUGGCUAUUAAUAAAAAGUUAAAAAACAACAGAUGCUGGUGAGGUUGUUGAGAAAAAGGAAUACUGUUAUACUGUUGGUGGGAAUGUAAAUUAGUUCAACCAUUGUGGGAGACAGUGUGGCAUUUCCUCAAAGACCUAGAGGCAGAAAUACCAUUUGACUCAGCAAUCACGUUACUGGAUAUAUACCCAAAGGAAUAUAAAUCAUUCUAUUAUAAAGAUACAUGCAUGCGCAUGUUCACUGCAGCAUUAUUCACAAUAGCAAAGACAUGGAAUCAACCCAAAUGCCCAUCAAUAACACACUAGAUAAAGAAAAUGUGGUAUAUAUACACCAUGGAAUACUAUUCAGCCAUAAAAAGGAAUGAAAUCAAGUCCUUUGCAGGAACAUGAAUGAAGCUGAAGGCCAUCAUCUUCAGCAAACUAACACAGGAACAGAAAAUAAAAUACCACAUAUUCUCACUUACAACUGGGAGCUGAAUGAUGAGAACAUAUGGACACAUAUAGGGGCACAACACACACUGGGGCCUGUUGGAGGGUGCUGGGGGGAGGAGGCAGAGCAUCAGGAAGAAUAGCUAAUGGAUUCUGGGCUUAAUACCUAAGUGAUGAGAUGAUCUGUGCAGCAAACUACCAUAGUACAUGUUUACCUAUGUAACAAACCUGUACGUCCUGCACAUGUACCCCUGAACAUUAAAA
rnacentral:lncRNA from 1 species